UAUGAAUUAAAUUGAAACAUAAAGAUAAACAAGGAAGCUGAAAUUAAAUUGAUGAUGCGAAUAGAUGGCAAAUUGCAAGCCUGGCUA